rnacentral:snoRNA from 1 species
GAAAAUAAAAUGAUGAUUUAAUAAUGCAUAGUUCAACUGAUUAUACUAGAAAUUGAAGAUAAAAAACAUCAUUGAAAUUAGUCUUUCACCCCUAUCUGAUUUUUUUU